GACGAACGCUGGCGGCGUGCUUAACACAUGCAAGUCGAACGGAAAGGCCCUGCUUUUGUGGGGUGCUCGAGUGGCGAACGGGUGAGUAACACGUGAGUAACCUGCCCUUGACUUUGGGAUAACUUCAGGAAACUGGGGCUAAUACCGGAUAGGAGCUCCUGCUGCAUGGUGGGGGUUGGAAAGUUUCGGCGGUUGGGGAUGGACGCGCGGCUUAUCAGCUUGUUGGUGGGGUAGUGGCUUACCAAGGCUUUGACGGGUAGCCGGCCUGGGAGGGUGACCGGCCACAUUGGGACUGAGAUACGGCCCAGACUCCUACAGGAGGCAGCAGUGGGGAAUAUUGCACAAUGGGCGGAAGCCUGAUGCAGCAACGCCGCGUGCGGGAUGACGGCCUUCGGGUUGUAAACCGCUUUCGCCUGUGACGAAGCGGGAGUGACGGUAAUGGGUAAAGAAGCACCGGCUAACUACGUG
rnacentral:rRNA from 1 species